rnacentral:misc_RNA from 1 species
CUGCCCAAAGAUCUGUUGGAUGAAGUUGCUGCUGCUGCUACCUCUGUCUCUGAUGAAUUCUCAUUGACUGCCAGGGAUCUUGGGAGCCCUGAAUUUAUUUUGGUAGUGAUUUGAGCCAUGAAUGCANNNNNNNNNNCCAGAUGCUCUUGCUUUCUGGUACGCCCUUAAGCCAGGCUCAAACUUUUUGACAGUUCCCCACAUCCCAUGCCUUACUCCAAGCUUUGCAAUUUCCCAUGGUAUACCCAUUUCUUC